GGAUAAAGGAAGGAGCUACAAGGCAAGGAAAAAAAGACAGACAAUCCUGUGAACAAUGUGGGCUAAGAAUGCUCUGAGGCCUGUGGGUCUACAAGAGUUGGAAGUUGUGGGGCUUCUCACAGAACCUGCUUUUCAUAUGGCAGCCCAUGCAGCAGAGGCUCUAAGGAGAAAUUUUCCAACCAAGAUAGGAGAGCCUAAAGUAAUUCCUCUCUUACAAUUUGCAUGGGAUGAGUAUCUACAGGAGAAAAAAAAGGAAUUGAGAGGGGAGACUUGGGAAUAUCCUUCCAAUGUGAUGUGUUUUGUGGAUGGCCAGCUCCUUGGAGAUGAAAAAAUGAUGCUCAAAUGGGCUUAUGAUGUUUGGGAUUAUAAAGACUUUAAACCCACAGCACUCUAUGAGGCCAUUACACAAGAUUUCCUCACCAAAUACAUGAGAAACAAAAAGCAUGUGUUUGUGUUCUUGGAGAUAGCUAUUCAAGAGAUGACUGUUGGAAAAUUGCUAUUUGAGCUCUAUUCUGAUAUCUGCCCCAGGACAUGUCGGAAUUUCCAAUAUUUGUGCACAGGCGAGAAAAUGAACUCUGAGUCAGGGGUGGUCCUCACGUACCAAGAUUCUAUCUUUCACCGAAUUGUCAAAAAUGGCUGGAUACAAGGAGGAGAUAUACAUGGAGGAAGAGGGAACGGAGGCGAGUCAAUAUAUGGUCCUGUCUUUGAAGAUGAAAACUUUGCUGUUCGCCACGAUAGGAGGGGUGUCCUUGGAAUGGCCAAUAAAGGACGCCACAGCAAUGGGUCCCAGUUCUACAUCACGUUACAGGCAGCACCUUACUUGAAUGACAAAUAUGUGGCUUUUGGACAGCUGCUUGAAGGCUCAGAAGUCCUCCAGGAACUGGAAGCAAUGGAAACAUUCAAUGAGAGGCCAAUUUUAGAAUGUAAAAUUAUUAACUGUGGAGUGUUUAAGCCAUGAUUGUGAAUGACACUGUGCCCGUACUUACCAAUAGCAUGAAGUGCUGAAUCUCCAGACAAUGAGUCCCCCUGAAAUGAGAAACUGGACCUACUAUUAGAUGGACUCUCAGCUGACGCUCUUUAACCAACCAAUUUAAGGGGACUCUUGAUAUCUACGCAACUAUCAAGAAACAGACAAAAAUCUUUCACAGGAAAUCUUUCACAGGAAGUAACAGAAUGUCAUUUUACCAAGGGACAUGUGUGUACAUCAAUUUAACAAGUAUUGUCAACAGAGACUGCUGACAUCUAUCUUCAGCAAGAAAGAGACCUCUUGCUUAAGUUACAUGGACUUUGACCUCAGGUACAGCUUGUGUUUUUCUUGUGCAAGGAAUCAGAUUCUUGAUCAUUAUAUUCCUCUAUACAUCUGUUUUGAUGGAGAAUUAAUCCAUAAAGAGUGGUGGGAAUCCUCCCUCUAACCAGUUAUUAUUACUUCUGUUCAGUGCUGUUGUUGUUAGGUGAUUUUAAGUUACUUCAGUUAUUGCUACAGCUUUGAAUGAGCCACCUCAUAUACUAUAUGUCCUAGCAUUUACAAUGAUUGCAGACACAGGGCCCCAGCUUCCUUGUAGUUACUCAGCUAGUAUUAUCCUUGUUUGAGAGUAUAGUGGUGCCUUGCAAGACGAAUG